rnacentral:rRNA from 1 species
AGUGCGGUCGCAAGAUUAAAACUCAAAGGAAUAGACGGGGACCCGCACAAGUGGUGGAGCAUGUGGUUUAAUUCGAAGAUACGCGAAGAACCUUACCUAGCCUUGACAUAUAUUAGAACACUUUAGAGAUAGAGUGGUGCCUUCGGGAGCUUUUAUACAGGUGCUGCACGGCUGUCGUCAGCUCGUGUCGUGAGAUGUUGGGUUAAGUCCCGCAACGAGCGCAACCCUCGUCACUAGUUACUAACGGUUCGGCCGAGGACUCUAGUGAGACUGCCUUCGUAAGGAGGAGGAAGGUGAGGACGACGUCAAGUCAUCAUGGCCCUUACGGCUAGGGCAACACACGUGCUACAAUGGCCAGGACAAUGAGAAGCGAUACCGCGAGGUGGAGCAAAUCUAUAAACCUGGUCUCAGUUCGGAUUGUAGUCUGCAACUCGACUACAUGAAGCUGGAAUCACUAGUAAUCGUAGAUCAGCUAUGCUACGGUGAAUACGUUCCCGGGUCUUGCACACACCGCCC